UCUGCAGGUCGGUGAUCUCUCACCGCCUUCCUCACAUCCUGCACCGGAGGAAACGCUGACGGAUCGCCGCCCCCUGCAGGGUCACCGUUAUUACAGCGAUCCAUCACCGAGCGGCCGAGUCCAUCCUCCAGAUUCCGGUUCUGGGCAGCUGGCCAUCAGGUUUGUCAUUUUGUCAACAUGCGGCGCCGUGCAAAGCUCCAAUAAAACCUGCAGCCCCAAUGUUUAUUCACGCCACUUUCCAUGUUUACAUCCAACCCGACCCGUGGCACUUUCACAAGAAGCCCGGGUCGCUGUCAGCCACCAAUUUUCCAUGAGGAUGAGGUCAUGACCUUCAGCGGCUUUAAGAAAGGCGGCUUUAACCAGUAAAACCAGUUCUGCUUGGGAGCUUU